CGUUCAACGCACCGAAUUUACAGGUGGAGAACGAGGAGACAAGUGGCGCAAAGCGCCCGAAAAAGAAAGCGCUGUUGGAUAAGUAUCCAACAGCGCUUUUUA
rnacentral:ncRNA from 1 species